rnacentral:rRNA from 1 species
GACGGGGGGGGCAAGUGUUCUUCGGAAUUACUGGGCGUAAAGCGCGCGUAGGCGGCUUUGCAAGUCGGGUGUGAAAUCCCCAAGCUUAACUUGGGAACUGCAUUCGAGACUGCAUUGCUAGAGUAUGGGAGAGGGAAGUGGAAUUUCCGGUGUAGCGGUGAAAUGCGUAGAUAUCGGAAGGAACAUCAGUGGCGAAGGCGGGUCUCUGGGCCGAUACUGACGCUGAGGAGCGAAAGCGUGGGGAGCGAACAGG